UACGUAGGGUGCGAGCGUUGUCCGGAUUUACUGGGCGUAAAGGGCGCGUAGGCGGCAAUUCAAGUCAUCUGUGAAAUCUCCGGGCUUAACUCGGAACGGUCAGAUGAUACUGCUUUGCUAGAGUACAGAAGGGGCAAUCGGAAUUCUUGGUGUAGCGGUGAAAUGCGUAGAUAUCAAGAGGAACACCUGAGGUGAAGACGGGUUGCUGGGCUGAUACUGACGCUGAGGCGCGAAAGCUAGGGUAGCAAACGGG
rnacentral:rRNA from 1 species